rnacentral:snRNA from 1 species
GGAUGUGAGGGCGAUUGGCUGCGACAUCUGCACCCACUGAUUCAGCUGAUUGGGCUGGCUAGGCGGUGUCCCUCCUCAUUCAGCGUUCCAUGUGUGUCCCUCCCGAAGCUGUGCGCUCUGUAGAAGAGGACGGCCGCCCCCGAUAGAGGAGGACCGAUGCUCAGUUAAGGGCCUAGGAGCAGCUGCACUCCCAGCUAGAACCUCCAAGCAAGCGCUCAAGAACAGCCGUGUCCUAUGGCCCCAAAGAGGAGACACCGAGCCGCUGCUGGCAGUCCUGCU